CAUGACCUGAGCCGAAGUCAGAUACUUAAAUGACUGAGCCACCCAGGUGCCCCUCCUGGGUUCAUCUUUCAAGGGGCUCUCUGUGUUUCCUGGACCUGGAAGUCUGUUUCCCUCUCCAGAUUAGGAACUUACGAAGCAUCUCUUAAUGUCAACAUGAACUUGAAAGCAACUGGCUGCAGAUGCUGACUUCUGAAAGGACGGGAGUCUUCAACCCCAGCUGUGUCUGAAUGUCCAACAACAAAGCUGAUUCCAGGAGAGUUCUGCCACACACAAACUCUGAGACCACACAGCAAUGGCACCAUCAUCAGGGAGGUAACACAGCAUACUCAGUGGCUGGCUCUCUCCCCACUUUAAUUCUGGACAGAGUUGGGCGUGAGUUGAUAUGAUCAUCUUCUGCUCUUUUAGGAACAAAGGUGCCCAGCUGAGUUUGUUGAAGGGCUCCAGGCCAGAGUUCAGUCUGUCACUUAAUGUCACACAUCUGUAAAGUGCCUAGAUGAGGCUGGAGUAUGGAGAGUGACAAUCUGUGGCCACGUACAGAGACCACAGAUAUAAGGAGGCAGAUUCCUAGACCUUCGCUGGCUACCCAGGGCUAUGUUUUAUUCCAACAUUUUAAAAAGGCCAUUUAAAUACAUUUUCUUGAAAGAAAUGUUUAUUAUGUUUAUUGGUCAAACAGUUUCAAACAAAUCCAGAACAAGUUUUCACAUUUUGAGCCUUUAGUGCAGAGAGACUAUGUCAUGCGUGAAAGAAAUGCUGGUCCAGUGGAGCCCUUCCCUGAUGCAAUUAAUAUUGGGAUGAUCAGGCAGAAAGAGAAUUAUGUGACAGAGCUCUGCUCAGAAAUCCUCUUGAAAAAGAACAGGAUUUAAAGCUCAUUUUAAGGUUUGUCACAACAUAAAUGUGCUUAAACAACUUGUAAUCUCAACUUCUUAAUUUCAAAACAAAAUACCCCAGGUAUCAACUAUCCCUUUAAAUAAAAAAAAUAAUCAAUUUAUACUCUUCUUAAAAGAACUCUAACAAUGUAAAAUAAGUUCCAAUUCCAUAUAUAUAUAUAUAUAUGUACAUUUAUAACUUAGUGCUCUUUUGCUUUAUAUACUUCGAUUCAUGCAACAGUGACAGAGGACUGGACGGGAGGCCCUAGAGAGGCCUCUCCGAGAAAGCAGUGUAGCUCCUCACUCUGGCGAA